rnacentral:rRNA from 1 species
GGAGCGGAGAGAAGUGAGAAUGUCGGCAUAAGUAGCAACAAGAAAGGUGAGAAUCCUUUCCACCAUAAACCCAAGGUUUCCAGGGCAACGCGAAUCGUCCCUGGGUUAGUCGGUCCUAAGGCGAGGCCGAAAGGCGUAGUCGAUGGACAGCAGGUUAAUAUUCCUGCACUUCCGUACGAUUUCGAUGGAGUGACGCAUCGUUCAACUGGUCGAGUCUCCUGGAAUGAGACUUCGGGCGCGCAGGGGUGUUCCGCAUGCAAAUCAGCGGAGCAUAAGCCUCGGCGUGAGCGCGAGUCUGCCGCAAGGCGGACAAGGAUCGGGACUGCGGUGUCGAGAAAACCUUCUAGAGCUAAUCGUAUGGAAACCGUACCGUAAACCGACACAGGUGGGUGGGCAUAAGUGUGCCAAGGCGUACGAGAGAAACAUUGUUUAGGAACUUUGCAAUACAGCGGCCGUAACUUCGGGAUAAGGCCUGCCCAGAGCAAUCUGGGCCGCAGCUAAUGACGCAAACCGACUGUUUACCAAAAACACAGCUUCCUGCUAAACCGCAAGGUGAUGUAUAGGAAGUGAUGCCUGGCCAGUGUCAGAACGUUAAGGGGAGAGGUCAUCCCGUCGCAAGACGGGGGCAGCCUUGAGCUGAAGCGCUGAUGAACGCCGGCGAUAACUAUAAUCGUUUUCUCGCUACCCCCAGCGCAAGCUGGGAACAGAGUAGGGCGAUUACAAAAUUCGACCAAAUGCUGGAACACCUGCGCAUGUCAUGGUACCGAGUAGGUAACAAUCCAUGAACGAUGCAGACAAUCAGCAGGAAAGACUGCCGAGGAAUGUAACCCAUGAAAUAUGAGUGAAACUCCUCAAAAGAUGUUACAGCGGAUGAAGGGGAAGUAUCUUGGAUACUACCUCGCGGGCUUUGUAGAUGGAGAAGGAAGCUUCAACGUCUCGAUUGUCCCACAUCCGACUGCAAGAAACGGGUGGAUCAUCAAUCCAAAAUUUCAAGUGUAUCAACAUGAGAAUCAUGGAUACAUCCUCGAAGCGUUUCGAGAUGUCUUCCAUACGGGAAGCAUCCGCAAAAAGGCGGGUGGCAAUGUGUUGGUUUACGAAAUUGCGACUAGAUUGACCCUCGUUGAAAAGAUUUUUCCAUUCUUUGAACGUUAUCAGCUCAUAGUGAAACGGAAUGCGUUUCAAGGAUUAAAAACCAUUGUCCAUAUGAUGCAACGCAAGGAGCAUCUCACGGUUGAAGGGUUUCGGAAGAUCGUAACGAUCGCACAUGCGAUGAAUAAAGAAGGCAAGGGACGAAAGUGGCUGGAAAACAGCAUCUUAAGUCAAAUUGCCUCGGCAGAAUCCUCAGAGACUACACGUCGAACCCCGCCAUCUGUGGGGAUGAUAUAGUCCAUACACUCUAGCGAUAGGGUGAGGCAUAAGCCUAAGGUAGCGAAAUUCCUUGUCGGGUGAACUAAGUGUUCCAGGGUUGGAUAAAAAACACUCGCCCGAACCCCGAUGCAAAUCGGGGCAAGUAAACUGACUCAUAACGGUGGAUUCCACACGCUUGAGACGAUCAAGCACGGGAAAUACCGUGGGAAUCCUGCUAAAAUCAUUUAGUAUGGAACCCGUAACGACUGACCCGAAAGGGGAGAGUCCCGACAGGUAUUGUCGGGGCUAACACGUCAGCUCUUGCGAAUGAAAUGCGAUCUAUGGAGAUGGCGACUCUAUCGCUUGUAAACUCCUAACGAUUGCCCGCAAGAUGAAGGUAUAGUCUGAUCUCCGAUGAAAGUCGGAGUUAACAAAUGGAGUUCCGACCCGCACGAAUGGCAUAACGAGUUUGCGACUGUCUCAACAUGGGACUCGGCGAAAUUGCAAGUGGGGUGAAGAUGCCCUGUACGCGCAGUCAGACGAAAAGACCCCGUGAAGCUUUACUACAACUUGAUAUUGGGUAACGGCUUAGUAUGUUCAGAGUAGGUGGGAGCCGCAAGGCAACAAUGAGACACCACCCUUACUCUUUCGUUAUUCUGAUCGCAGACCGUCUAUCCGGUUUGUGAGACAGUAUCUGGUGGGUAGUUUAACUGGGGCGGUUGCCUCCCAAAAAGUAACGGAGGCGUUCACAAAGGUCAGCUAGGCACGGAUGGAAAUCGUGCCGAUUCCGCAAUGGGAUAAGCUGGCUUAACUGCAAGACCAACAAGUCGAGCAGAUACGAAAGUAGGACAUAGUGAUCCGACCGUACGAUAUCGGACGGCGGAAGCUCAACGGAUAAAAGCUACUCCGGGGAUAACAGGCUGAUCUGGUCCAAGAGUCCACAUCGACGACCAGGUUUGGCACCUUAAUACAUCGGGGUGCAUCAGAAGUGAUUCUGAUCCAAAUCCUUCGACAAGCUCAGGAUAAGCCCUGAGUGGAAUCGAAGGGCAAAAAAUACGGCUAUAACGGUGGACCCGUCAGUGAUUGAAUAUAAAUUCUGGAUGAAAAAAUUUAUAUUUCGAUCGCCCGGCAACACCGUGGGAAGCCACGUAAAAUCCAAAGACAUUUCAGUUUUUUGAAGUUUGGAUCACGUGGCCCCGUAACGACUGACCCGAAAGGGGAGGGUCUGGAUUUUUGAUCCAGGCCAAUACGCCGACGCUCGCUAGAUUCAAACCGAGAUUAUGCCUACGAACAGGCUACGAUCCGGAGCGAGAUGAAGAUAUAGUCUGUGCCAUGAGAAACCAUGGAAUUGAUCCGACAGCGAUGUCGGCCCAUCGCAUCCUGGGGCUGGAGAAGGUCCCAAGGGUUAGGCUGUUCGCCUAUUAAAGCGGUACGCGAGCUGGGUUCAGAACGUCGUGAGACAGUAAGACUGUGCUGUCUAUAAAUUCGACUAUAUGCUGGAAACUCUGGUGCAACUCCUAAUUGGAGUAGGAGUUCAAAGGAUCUCACACUACGUGGUAAAAUAGAGGUCUAUGCCACGUAAAAAAGUGUUGAGUGCAGACAAUCAGCAGGGAAGAUUACGUGAGUGAUCAAGUAAAACCCUCAGAGACUAUACGUCGAAUCCGCUUUAAGCGGAAAGAUAUAGUCCGAACUGCAUGGCGACAUGCAGACCCCGACAGAAACGUCGGGGCGCCGCAGAGCACAUCGCAGAAUAUGGAAGCGGUUAUGCAAGUAACAAAUUUGUCGGUCUCCUGUCUACUGCGCGCGUGGAAGGUUGAGAGGGCGAUUCUCUAGUACGAGAGGACCGAGAAUCACGAACCUCUAGUGCGCCUGCUGUUCUACCAAGGGCACCGCAGGGUAGCUACGUUCGGAACGGAUAAACGCUGAAAGCAUCUAAGCGUGAAGCCGUCCUCAAGAUUAACCUUCGUUAUUAAGGACCCUUCGAGACGAGGAGGUUGAUAGGUGGUAGGUGUAAGAGCCGCAAGGCUUUGA